UGAGUUUCUUUUGUCAAACUUAAGUAGCUGUAACCCUAUUUAUUCAUCACUUACGAGUUAAACCCUAAAUAAACUAACACACGAUAGUUGCCAUGGAGUUCUGUGGACAUUGCGGCAUUCUUCGUAACACUACGUCUUAUUUAUGUGAUGCCGUAUAUUUGAACUGUUGUAGAGAUUGUGGAAAGGUUCUGAGUGAGACUUGUGCAGAUUGUGGAAACGUUUCAACAGAGUCUAAUCCUAUUAGUUUGAGGACGUGUAAAAGUGAUGGAAUAAAGAAGAAUAAGAGUGUGACAAUAAAAUCUAAAGAACUAUACCUAAGGCAUUUUUUGUUCAAUUCUUCUUAAUUGAAGGACACAUUUAUAAGUUUUGUUUACUUUAGUUGUUUAAGGUGGUUUUAAAUUUGAGUUAUGAGAUAAUUUUGUUCAAUGUA